GUCUAAUGGUAAAGAAUCUGCCUGCAAUGCAGGAGGUCCAGGUUUGAGCCCUGG
rnacentral:tRNA from 1 species